GUGGGGAAUAUUGGACAAUGGGCGCAAGCCUGAUCCAGCAAUGUCGCGUGGGUGAAGAAGGUCUUCGGAUCGUAAAGCCCUUUCGACAGGGACGAUGAUGACGGUACCUGUAGAAGAAGCCCCGGCUAACUUCGUGCCAGCAGCCGCGGUAAUACGAAGGGGGCUAGCGUUACUCGGAAUUACUGGGCGUAAAGGGCGCGUAGGCGGCUCUGUUAGUCAGGCGUGAAAUUCCUGGGCUUAACCUGGGGACUGCGCUUGAUACUGCAGGGCUUGAGGCCGAGAGAGGGUGGUGGAAUUCCCAGUGUAGAGGUGAAAUUCGUAGAUAUUGGGAAGAACACCGGUGGCGAAGGCGACCACCUGGCUCGGUUCUGACGCUGAGGCGCGACAGCGUGGGGAGCAAACAGGAUUAGAUACCCCAGU
rnacentral:rRNA from 1 species